rnacentral:rRNA from 1 species
CCUACGGGCGGCAGCAGUGGGGAAUAUUGCACAAUGGGGGAAACCCUGAUGCAGCGACGCCGCGUGAGUGAAGAAGUAAUUCGUUAUGUAAAGCUCUAUCAGCAGGGAAGAAAAUGACGGUACCUGAGUAAGAAGCCCCGGCUAACUACGUGCCAGCAGCCGCGGUAAUACGUAGGGGGCAAGCGUUAUCCGGAUUUACUGGGCGUAAAGGGAGCGUAGGCGGGAGAGCAAGUCUGGAGUGAAAGGCGAGGGCUCAACCACAGGACUGCUCUUGAAACUGUAAGGCUGGAGUGCGGGAGAGGUAAGUGGAAUUCCUAGUGUAGCGGUGAAAUGCGUAGAGAUUAGGAGGAACACCAGUGGCGAAGGCGGCUUACUAGACUAUAACUGACGUUGAGGCUCGAAAGCGUGGGGAGCAAACAGGAUUAGAUACCCCUGUAGUC